rnacentral:rRNA from 1 species
GACAGAGGUGGCGACCGUUGUUCGGAAUCACUGGGCAUAAAGCGCGUGUAGGCGGCAUUGUAAGUCGGGUGUGAAAUCCCUCGGCCUAACCGAGGAAUUGCGCUCGAAACUACUUUGCUUGAGGACCAGAGGGGAGCCUGGAAUUCCUGGUGGAGCGGUGAAAUGCGUUGAUAUCAGGAGGAACACCGGCGGCGAAGGCGAGGCUCUGGCUGGUUUCUGACGCUGAGACGCGAAAGCUAGGGGAGCAAAC